CGGGGUAGGUGUGGGGCAGGAGGCGCGGGAAAACGAACCGGAGGGACGGUAUUCGGAAUUAUUGAGGUUAAAGGGGGCGGAGGCGGUGCGGUAAGUGCGGUGUGAAAUCCCACGGCUCAACCGUGGAAUUGCGCUGCAUACUGCCGUGCUAGAGGGAGACAGGGGUAAGCGGAACUGAUGGUGGAGCGGUGAAAUGCGUUGAUAUCAUCAGGAACACCAGUGGCGAAAGCGGCUUACUGGGUCUCUUCUGACGCUGAGGCACGAAAGCUAGGGUAGCGAACGGGAUUAGAUACCCGAGUC
rnacentral:rRNA from 1 species